rfam:Capsicum annuum cultivar Zunla-1 chromosome 3, whole genome shotgun sequence
UAAUGAUGGUGAGGGCAAUUUCUGAGCAUACACUUGAAUCUCUCCCAAGCUUAGUAUAGAUUUUCUUUUUUUUUUUUAUGCUUAAAAAUCAGAAUCUUGUUUCUCAAACG